rnacentral:misc_RNA from 1 species
CCGAGAGAAGCUUUUUGGCUUCAUCUCCCACCCUUUGUGUACUGACAGAAAAGUUGCUUCGGCCUUGCCUUUGGGCAAUGUCAAAGAUUCUAAUACUCUGAUUUUACCCACUGUCUGAGUUUUGUCUCAAAAAA